GAGGCAGAGGAAGAGGCAGCAGUUGAACUAGGACUUGGAGGGCAGGCUGCCACCGCAGGCACAGGACCUGGGAAGAGCGUUUCCUUUGACAGGACCCUGGGUGGAGAGAGCCAAGAGGCGUGGAGCCCUGUGCGUAGGGGGGGACACAGGCGCGAAGUGCCCGGAGAUGUGUGCGCUUCACCUGUGCCUCGGCCAAGCAGCAGAAUCUCCCAGCACACUGGGUCUCAGACUGGAGGAGAAGGCCUCUGUCUAUUAAGUGCUACCUGCCUUCGGCUUCCUAGAGUGGUAGCAGGUGCUGCACGGCCAGGGUACUUAGAGGUGGAGGCUCUCAGCGUGUAGAAAUAUCACCACCGGCACAGAUGGCACAGCUGAUGGCGUCACCCUCCUCCUUGGAAAGCAAGCUGGCACCCCUGUGCGGCGAAUGCUCCUCGGAAGAGUACUCACUGUGUAACCAGACACGCCCAACAUCCGAUGGUCUCACCGCACAGUGGACACGCAAACCUGUCAUGACGUCGGUGGGAUGAUCCAGCCAGAAUGCCCUCACUAGAAGCUGGCACCAUGUCCUUGAACCUUCUAGGCUCCAAAAUAAAAGAAGUCUCUGUCCUUUAAGAAUUAGCUAGUGUUUGGUAUUUUGUUCUGACAGCACAAAAUGACUUAAGACCCUGGAGAAGGCCUUCAGCUUCUCAGUUUUCAGCUGUCAGGUUAAAAAGGGUGCUGAAUGUACAUGGCAGUUUAAUUUUCUGUCCGGGUGCUUCAUUCAAUAUCUUAGUUACUCUGCUCUACCCUUUUUUGUCUUUCACUUCUAAUGUCAAGAGUGGUUUCUACCAACCAAGUGGAGCAGAGGCAGAAAUACAUUGAAUGAGUUGGGCUAUAACUUCAUACAAUCUCUUGAUUUCUCAAAGGAGAAAACAGAAGCAAAAUGAAGACAACUUCUUCCCAUUCAGGGAUGUGCAGAGGAGAGUCACGGGUGGCAAGAGAGAGUGCACAUCCCCAGAUGCACUGCUCUGCCCACCUUGUCUUCCUUCUUCUGUGAUCUCCAGUGGGCAAAAUGUUAUUGCACAGCUUUGGAAAGCAGCUGAAUUCACUUUCAUUCUUGUUAGGACAUUUGGACUGGCUGUAAUCUGCCCAUGGUUGGAUGAGAAGCACACCAUGUACACAUACUCCUAACAUGACUUGAAGAGAAGCUCCUUCUGUUUCUCAGUAUCCUGUGGGGAGAACACAUUCCCUAGAUGCCCAGGCUUGUUAGGGCCUACGAAAGGCUGCAUCCCAACAACUCUGUCUUACUUCAACACCCACAAUUUAAAAGAGGAAAGCUCACAGUUUGUAGAU